rnacentral:rRNA from 1 species
AGAACGAACGCUGGCGGCGUGGAUAAGACAUGCAAGUCGAACGGGAUUACUGGUGUAGCAAUAUAUCAGUGGUCUAGUGGCGUAAGGGUGCGUAACACGUGGGCAAUCUGCCGAGAAGUGGGGGAUAGCUCGCCGAAAGGCGAAUUAAUACCGCAUGUGGUUAGUGCUGGAUUCAGCGCGACACCAAAGCCGGGGCAACCUGGCGCUUCUUGAUGAGCCCGCGGCCUAUCAGCUAGUUGGUGAGGUAACGGCUCACCAAGGCUAUGACGGGUAGCUGGUCUGAGAGGACGACCAGCCACACUGGAACUGAGACACGGUCAGACACCUACGGGUGGCAGCAGUCGAGAAUUUUCUCAAUGGGGAAACCCUGAAGGAGCGACGCCGCGUGGAGGAGUGAAGGUCUUCGGAUUCGUAAACUCCUGUCUAUUUGGAACAAUGUGCAUUGUUAACUGCGGUUUAUUGAUAGUACAGUAAGAGGAAG